CAACAGAAAAAGCUUGGGACGGAAAGAAGCAGGAAUGUACUGGACAUCCAGCAGGUUUGAAGGAUACCGUGCAAAUUUUCAAUGCAGAAGGGCUGUGGUUCAUAGGCUAAAGACUGUGUCUUGGUGCAUGAAGGAACAUUCCUGAAGAUUCAUUCUAGCAGUGAAAAAAAUCUGAGCAAGGCCAUGGGUCCCGAUGUGAAGUUCUUCAGCUGAUCUUCUCGGUCCUAUCUUGGCAUUAAAAUCACC